GCAUGUGAGGGCGAUCUGGCAGCAAUAUCUGUCACCCCUUUGAUUGCCAGGGUUGAUUGGGCUGAUCUGGCUGGCUAAGCAGCUGUCCUCUUCCUCCCUGCCCGCUCCAUCACGUGUGUCCCUCCUGAAGCUGCAUGCUGGUGGAUGAGGGCAACCUUCCCUGAUAGAGGUGGAUCUUUCUUCCUUCAAGUGCAGGCAGUAGCUGUGCUCUCCUGCUAGGACCUCCAAGCAAGCUCUUAUGGUCCAUUUGUAGGACAACAUAGGGCAGUCAACCUACCAGGACUCCAGAUACAUCCUAACGAGGGCUCUGCAAGUGGCAGUCUGCCUUUCUUA
rnacentral:snRNA from 1 species